rnacentral:rRNA from 1 species
AUUGAACGCUGACGGCAGGCCUAACACAUGCAAGUCGAACGCGUGGCGGACGGGUGAGUAAUGUCUGGGAAACUGCCUGAUGGCGGGGGAUAACUACUGGAACCGGUGGCUAAUACGGCAUACCCGCGGAUGUGCCCAGAUGGGAUUAGCUAGUAGGUGGGGUAAAGGCUAACCUAGGCGACGAUCCCUAGCUGUUCUGAGAGGAUGACCAGCCACACUGGAACUGAGACACGGUCCAGACGCCGACGGGAGGCAGCAGUGGGGAAUAUUGCGCAAUGGGCGCAAGCCUGAUGCAGCCAUGCCGCGUGUAGGAAGAAGGCCUUCGGGUUGUAAAGUACUUUCAGCGGGGAGGCGUUACCCGCAGAAGAAGCACCGGCUAACUCCGUGCCAGCAGCCGCGGUAAUAC